UACAGAGACCUCAAGCGUUAUCCGGAAUCAUUGGGCGUAAAGCGUACCGAUAGGUUGUUUUGGUAGGUUUGUGUAAAAGCCGGAAGCUUAACUUCCGCGUUUGCUCAAAAUACUCCAAGACUAGAGGGACAAAGAGGUGGCUGGAACGAACGGUGUAGUAGUGAAAUGCGUUGAUAUCGUUCGGAACACCGAAAGCGAAGGCAGGCCACUGGGUGUGACCUGACACUGCUAGGACGAAAGCGUGGGGAGCGAAUGGG
rnacentral:rRNA from 1 species